rnacentral:lncRNA from 1 species
UUUAAUUCCUUUGAUUUCAAGAGGCACUCCAAUUAUACAAGAGGUUAUCCAAUAACGCCACUGCUUGGAGAUUGCUCGACGUGCCGCGACGUCUCAUCUCUCCUGACAAAGCGGAAGCUGCCGUUGCUCUGGUUCGAUGAUGCUGCGUCUUUCUUGGCUGGGAAUCGACGCGCCACCGUUGCUCCCUCCCCGGUUCUCUCUCUUUACAACCCAAGGGAGGGUGGGGUCUUCUUCUAGGCUGAGCCCUAGCUGCACUUCCUCGUUAAUCGCCAUCGCCGUGUUCUGGAUUCUAGCAGCGAAGGUUACGCCGCUGCUAUUCCUGGCAAUUCCCACCUUCUCGUCGCUCGGCGUCGAUCCACAGCUCACACCGAUGGAACAGGGACCGCUGCCUUUCCUUAAUUACCUAAAAGCUAAGCCCUUUUCCUAUUUUCCUAUUUCUCUUCUAUGGGGUAAAUUCGAAUGAUGUUGUGGUGUACUAGUUAACCCUAUUGGAGUUGUGGUUCUCCUUGCUUGUUCAUAAGUGAUAUGAAACAUAGGGUUGCCAAUUUCUUUAACAAAGUUUGCAUAUCCGAAUUUCCUAUAAAUGAAGCUGUGUAUUUAAGAGUUUUGUAUAGAUAAUAUGGAUACAUUAAGUACAGAUCCUCUGCAUUUCUAUGCGACUGGGCAUGCAUUAAGAAGUGUGGUAAUCAUAGUCUGUUGAUUUUAUAGGAAGUAAAUCGAUUAUGCUAUUUAUCUCUUUAUCCAGCAUUUCUAUAUAACUGAUCUUGUGUUCUGUUGGGUAUAUGAAGACGAUGUAUUUGGGUAUUUAUUCACAAGAAAACAUGAUUCCCUAAUAGUUUAGUUUAAGUGAAUUUGGGAGUUCUUGGAAUAAGCUAGCUACAUGUUUGAUGCUUGUGUAAUUGUACUCCUUGAAUUGUAAAAUGAGAUUAUAUGACAAUAGUUGGAGGAUAUCAAGCAUGCUACUAUAUGUUGAUGUGUUGAACAUGAAUUACGUUUAAGCUAAAGCAUGCUAAUGUGUAGUAAGAUGAUGUAUUUGAGUUACUAUAGCUUUUAUUUGAUAAAAAUAUGAGUUAUAUGUUAAGUUGAGAUGAAGAGGCAUUGCUGUCAGUUUUGCUGACAGGACAGUACCUUGCAAGGUACUUUUGAUGAUGUUCCGUAAUCCAAAUAACUUGAAAUUUUACUGUAAUAACUUCAUCAUGUGUAGUCGUUCUCUGCAAAAUUUCAGCUAAAUCCGAGACCAAUAGACAUGUCAAACUAUUUUCUGAAAUGUACUGCACGGAGCAGCAGAGUUCAGUGCAGAUUCUGUCUUUGGUCAUAUAACUUCUUAUCCACUUGAGAUAUUGAGUUUUUGUAAAUUUCUGAGAAAUAUAGACAUUAAUAGCUUUCUAAAAAGGUAAAACUCGUAUUUUUCCUUGAAGUGAUUGAUUUUAUAUGAUUUUCCAAAGUUAGGAUUCAAAUGUGUAUGUGUCUUGAUUAAACUUGUGAUUGGUAGUUAAUUGAGAUCCUACACUACUAAACUUGAAUUAAGGUUUUAUUGUUCUAAUUACCUAUUGAGGAUUAUUGAUUACUAAAGCUUGUUAAUAUGAUAGUGAUGGACAUAAUUAUGUUUAUAUGAUUAAUUACUUUGGAAUUUUGUGUUUUACAUGUAUGGUUAGUUGUAAACUGAUCUCUAUGGAAUGGAUUUGUUUACUUCUAAACUUUCUCAAGCAGAGGAAUUCUUAUAAGAUAGGAAUAUUAGUUUAUACGUUCUUAAAGUUCAUAGAGUCAGUAUAUUGAUUAGUUUAGUUGAUGCAACCUUAGCAGUUUAUUGGGAUGCUAUUUAUAGCUAAUUCUUCUUAUCUAGUUAUCCAAUCUUAUUUUAGAAUCUUGCUAUUAUGAAGGUGACAGUAGCAAUGAUAGAUAAGUGAGCAAGAGUUUCUACAUCGUUAAGCGUAUCAGGUGGGCUUUCUAAACUCAUAAUUUGAAGUGCGCACUAUUUAAUUAUGUUAUUAUAUGAAUGAAGUUAUAUUAAAGUUAUUGACUUGCCAAAUUAUUUUAAGAGCUUGUAUGUUACCAUCUACGAGAGAUAGACGAUAUCGGCCCUAUGCUGAAGCGAGAUGUCAGUAAGGGUUUGUGCACAUAGUUGUGACCGUGAGUCAUCGAGCGGGUUGGCCGGUCACUGUGAUCGGGAGCCUUCGGGCCGAUCACUGUGUUUGAGAAGGAGGCCUACUUCUCAACACAAGGUUACAUGAUGCGUAGUUAUGGUACAUACAUGUUAAUUGUCUGCAGACGUAUAUGAUGUAUGAUGAUAUAUAUAUAUAUAGAAGUUUUACAGUUUUGGCGUGCACAGGUUAUUUAAUAAAAUUCCUGUGUGAUGCUUGAGAUGGCAAGUUCAAUAUAUAGCUCUAAGAGCAAACUUUAAAGUUAUUUCGGCAUGUGACCAUUGAGUACCUUUUUAGUACUCAGCCCUGCAUAUGUUUUCUAAAUAUGCAGGUUAAGCUGUGAUGCAGAUGGAGGCGAGCAGAGCAAAGCUUUUGAAGUAUAAGUAUUAAAUUAGGCUCAGGAUUCCAUGUCUUCAUACAUGUAAUCCAUUUAAGUAUUUCCGCUGCAACACUUAGUGUAUUUUACUUUAUUGAUGUGUUGUACAGAUUUUAAAUCAAUAGCUUGACAAUUAUGUCACUUGAAAAUUUGACAACUUGUCGUUAUGUAUUGUGAGUUGUCUGCUUUGAGUUUUAGAAAAGAUUGUUUAUAUUUACCAAAUAUUUUGGUAAAUUAUUGUUUAAGCAGGUUAGUGGUUUUUAUUGAGAUUUAUUUUCUUUUUCAUUUUAUUACUCCCUUUCCCAGUCACACCUUUCCCCGGCUUAACUAUACACUAGCUUAGGUCGGGCUGUGACAAAG